rnacentral:rRNA from 1 species
UACUUUGCCGGCGAGCGGCGGACGGGUGAGUAAUGUCUGGGAAACUGCCUGAUGGAGGGGGAUAACUACUGGAAACGGUAGCUAAUACCGCAUGACCUCGCAAGAGCAAAGUGGGGGACCUUCGGGCCUCACGCCAUCGGAUGUGCCCAGAUGGGAUUAGCUAGUAGGUGGGGUAAUGGCUCACCUAGGCGACGAUCCCUAGCUGGUCUGAGAGGAUGACCAGCCACACUGGAACUGAGACACGGUCCAGACUCCUACGGGAGGCAGCAGUGGGGAAUAUUGCACAAUGGGCGCAAGCCUGAUGCAGCCAUGCCGCGUGUGUGAAGAAGGCCUUCGGGUUGUAAAGCACUUUCAGCGAGGAGGAAGGGGUUGAGUUUAAUACGCUCAAUCAUUGACGUUACUCGCAGAAGAAGCACCGGCUAACUCCGUGCCAGCA